UAUUCUGCCCCACGGGGAAGGAUGAGAAGCUUCGACUAAGGUUCGACUCGAGCGAAGCGAGAGAACGUUGCCGCAGGCAA
rnacentral:sRNA from 2 species